GCUUAACCUCACUCUCUUUCUGUACAGUUAUGAAUUUGAAACAUGCCUGAAUAACGGAGGACUAAAACUUUGAAUGGAAGCCACGUAACCAAUAAGAAUUUAUUGUCACAAGCACAAUUUGUUACACAAAAAUAAUGGGUCACAUUUACACAAUUUUAUACAGGUCUAGAACUCAAUGUACAAUUAACAGACUAACUAAAUACCAAUAGUUAAAUAUGUACUCACAUUGCACACAAUAUCAUUAAAACCUACACAAAACAUGUACUGUGUGAAAGUAACACGAGUCGACAUAAAAAUCACAUUAUUUACAAAAAAACAUCGAUUUAAGAUCUUUAGCAAAAGGACUGUCUGUACGAGGUUCUCCCCUCCGUCUGUCAGAGACAUUAUACAAUCUAUCAUGUAAAAGCUCCCCCGCUAGAAAGUAUUAUUCAGUCUCUUCAUAGUUGAAAAGAUUAUAAAGUAAUAAAGUCAAGUAGCCAGAGCUGAAGAACACCGAAUACACUAGUAAAUACUGCGUUUUGCUUGGACGGUAUGGCGGUUUCUCCCUUUUAAAGCAGGCUGGUGAGAUUAGCAGUUAGCUUCAUGAAGUGCACUUUAAGCCUUAGCUUAGCAACUGUCUGCGAUGAGUUUUUUUUGUAUUUUUUUCAUGUAUACACAGAGUCCUUCUAUGCUCACGUCAGGGCAUCACUACAUACAGGUUACACAGUAAGGUUGCUGGAGAGUGGGCAGCAGCAGAGUCAGCGAUGGCGUGCAAGAGGCUGCAACAGGUAGACGGAGGUGUACAUCUGUAACACGCAUAAAUCCCACUGCGUGUGUGUGAACAUGUAUGUGCAUCGUUGUCGACUGAUGCUCUACAGUCACUGCAGGAGUUACCAGAGGAGGUGAUUGGUCCAUUACUGGUUUAUUGAUCCUACUGGUCUUACUGUACUGUGAGUAAGUGACAUCCUGUCUGGGCUGAGAUGCAGUCUUGCACACAUUCAUUAAGAUUCAAUGCAUAAAGCCUUCAGCUGACUCAUAGCAGGGGUUGCGUUAACCAAAUAUCUGGUUCAGUCGCUGACUGAAUUAUUUUAACAAGAUGGAAAAAUCUCAAGGCUGUCUGUCUGUCUGUCUUUUUUGGGGCUUUUUAUUGCCUUUAUUAUGAUAGAGCAGCUGGAGAAUGACAGGAAGGUCAGG
rnacentral:lncRNA from 15 species